rnacentral:ncRNA from 1 species
CGAUUUGAAUCGUGUUUGGGUGCCCCGCAAGGGCGUAACAGGGAAGUCCGGUGCAAGACCGGCGCGGACCCGCCACUGUAUGUGAGGAGCCGCCCUCCGUUCCUAACCACUCAACAUGCGCGUUGAGGAAGGUUGAGGGCCGUGUUGAAGGGCCGUCCUUUCGACACUCACGAGCCAGGAGACCUACCCAAGCAUCCAAGGCUAU